rfam:Aedes albopictus isolate Foshan contig67338, whole genome shotgun sequence.
UGUUCUGUGGCUUAGUUGGUUAAUGCGCCAGACUAGCGAUACGGAGUCGCAGGUUUGAAUCCCAUCAAAACAA